GAUGAACGCUGGCGGCAUGCCUAACACAUGCAAGUCGAUCGGUAAGGCUCUUCGGAGUACACGAGAGGCGGACGGCUGAGUAACGCGUAGGAACACACCCUGCAGUGAGGGAUAAGACACCGAAAGGUGUUCUAAUAACGCAUACGGUCGUCGGAUUAAAGCAUUUAUGCGCUGAAGGAGUGGCCUGCGUCAUAUUAGAUAGUUGGUGAGGUAAUGGCUCACCAAGUCGAGGAUGGGUAGCUGGUCUGAGAGGAUGAUCAGCCAGACUGGAACUGAGACACGGUCCAGAAUCUUACGGGAGGCAGCAGAGAGUAAUAUAGCACAAUGAGCUAUAGCUUGAUGGAGCAAUGCCGGGUGCAGGAUGAAGGCCGUCGGGUUGUAAACUGCUUUUAUAAGAGAAGAUUAUGACGGUACCUUAUGAAUAAGGGACGGCUAACUACGUG
rnacentral:rRNA from 1 species